ACAUCUGGUCACCUUAGUGUGUGUAUAUAUAUAUAUAUAUAUGAGAUAAAAGUAUGUGGUAUUAGUUGGAUGCCUAUACUAUAUAAUUUUUUGCAACUCUUCUGAUUACAUGGCCAGUAGAGGGUGCUGUGGGAUUUUUCUACCGGGCCUUUCUGUUUAUGGGGGAGCUGUAAAUGUAACUCUCAUACUAUCAAUUUUUAACACUGGUGAGCAGGUAUGUAAUUAUCUGAUGACUUCCAGUCAUGGUACAGAGGAAAUGAACAAUAAAAAUUCUUUCAAAAAUCAGCACAAGUUAUCUAUACUGCUACCCAUUGAUGCUUUGUAUUAGCAAAAGAUGGCCUAGAUGGUCUUUGGCGAAGCUUCCAAACUUGUGGAUACUGAGAUUUAAUAUGCAUUGUUUGUGUUCUUGUCUUAACCAGUAAGAAAACCAUUUGAAUAUGCGCUGGCUGACUGGAAGUGAGGGGAAAGUACAAUGGUGAAACAUCUUAUGAGAGUUGGCAAAUUGGACCAUUGAUUGGAUGGGAGAGUAGAUGAAGAUUGCUGAAGGGAAAAAUGGAGAAAGAUGACAUUUGAUGGAGAAAGAUUUUAUCUAAGGGUUGUGCCACGGAUGGUAAUUUGAUCAAUUUGCACAAGGUAGUUCUCGAAUUACAACCACAUUUGGAACCAUAUACUAAGUGAUGAGUUUGUUAAUUGCAAGUUCAAACCCAAAAGCAUCUCUUUUCUCAAGGCUUUCAGCAAGCAGGGAACACAAGUUUGUGGAGCCUGGAAUGCAGGAAUUGGGAUGAUGUCAGUGGUGAGUCUAAUCCAGGCCUCCUAUCUUGAGUCAUUGUUGAAGUAGAACUCAAUGGCAGAUAACCUUGGAGGAGCUACUUAAGUGUCUUGCCGUUCCUUUUCUGUUUGUGGUCCAAUUGCUGUGGUUUUCAAUCUGCUAAGUCCAGAUUUCUUUGACAAUAAAUAUCAUUUCAUUGACUUACAACAAUCUACAUCUGAAGUUAAGUGCCAGGGCAAAGCUACAAAACUUCCUCCUGUAUAUUAAGGCUCCUCCUCAUAAUUCUCCUCCAAUAUCAUUACAGUAACAUGUAAUAUUUACAUUAAAGAGAUUUAAAGCAGUGCUCUAGAUUAAGCCUAGACUAGUACCUUGGUUCCUGCUAAAAUGUGCAUUCCAAACCUUGAUUUGUGUCAGCUACCUCUAAAUGAAAUUUCAUGGCAUAAUUCACAUUGGUAAAAUCAGCAUGUUAGCAGGAACAGAGGCUAAUCUAGUUUGUUAAACUUAUUGGAUUAUCUGACUGACUGAGAAAAGAUUAUUCUUCUUUUAAACUGUCCUGAAUUUUAUUGCAAGUAGCCUGAAAAGAUUUGAGAUGUUAUAUGAUUUAUAAAAAUUAAUUGAAGCAUUUAGUUACACAGCAAAGACUGUCAGUUAAUUACAGAAUGCUAUGUUUCAUUCAGCAGCAGUUUGAAAAGGUCUCAUCCUUUGAAAGGAAGCACAGAAUCAAAACAGCCAUAUAUAAAAACACUGGUAGCCAGUCACCUUGUCUCUACACCUAUUUCAUAACUGUUAACUAAGCUUACCUAGAACAGUAGCUCUUCUCCCAAAAGAUUCUCUGGAGUGAUUCAACUACUGAGGCAUUCCUUUUUUUUAUCUCCACAUCUGCAUUUAGUGCAAUAAAGUUUAAAAAUUUUACUCUGAAAUAUUUACUUUUAUAUUAACAAAAAUAGUUUCUUUAAAAAAUUGUAACAAAAGAAUAUAUAGCAUAAAACAGAUCAUGAAAUUAUUCUCUGCAAUUACACUAUAAGCAUUUAUCAUUACAUCAAGCCAAACAGAGAAAUAUUAGCAUUCAUUACAUAGUAAAUUUCAGAAUGAAGAAAGGAAUUUAACACACAAAACUGAUUACUUGAUAAAUGAAAGCUACCAACAGGCAAUGAAGUUCUUCCAGAGGUCUCUGGCUAUUCAUAUUAAUAGGGAAGGAGCCUUAUCAAACUCUGGAACCUUCUGGAAAGCAAGGUUUACCAAUCAUGCUUUUGUCUUGAUCUAAUACAAAAACCAGAAGCAGAAACACAUUCCUGGUUAUUACUUCAAACUACAGGAUGUUUCCCCAUAAAAGUACCAUCUUGCACCGUAAGAUCUAAAAUAGUUGUUCUGGCCCAAUCAUGCUAGCUUUUGUUGUAUAAUGAUUUUUGGUGAGAUGAUCAGGAACAAACUUAGCAGUUUGUCUCCUGGUUAUGGACCCCAUGCAAAAGAAGCAGCCAGUUUUCUCAAUUGCUUCCUCAAUUACUUACAAAGUUAUAACUUGACUAACAUAAAAGUUGAUUAUCUCAAGGACUAUACUGUAUCUUAGAACAUCCCUAGAAAGCUGAUCUAUAAUAAGAAUCAAUCUUCUAAUGAAUGAGGGACAUGGAUCAAGCCUCAGAAUA